rnacentral:tRNA from 1 species
UCCCUGGUGGCUCAGCUGGUAAAGAAUCCGCCUGCAAUGCGGGAGACCUGGGUUUGAUCCCUAGACUGGGAA